UGGCUCAGUGGUAGAGUGCUUGCCUUGCAUGCAUGAGGUCCUGGGUUCAAUUCCUCAG
rfam:Dipodomys ordii contig_30892, whole genome shotgun sequence.